CGAAGGUCUGCUCCGUCGGAACAGUAAUAGUGGUGGAGUUGGUGUGCCACGAGUUGUACGCACGGUUUUUCUCGAGGGCAACAUAAUAUGGAUACCGAAAAGUCGAAGGAUGAUAAUCCAGAGCAAGUUACGACGCCCACGGCACUUGCCCCCGCAGACA